CCAAGCGGUCUCUCUGUUGAACGCUCAGAAUUAGCCCCCACCCUCUAUUUUAUUAUAUUAUUAUAAUUAUUGUUAUUUAUUGUAUUGUAUUGUUAUUCUGUAUACUUAACCGUUUAUUUAUAUUUAUUUAUUUUUUUGUACUGUUUUCUGUUUUCUGUUUUGUGUUUUUCUCUUUUUUAGAUAUUAACAAUAGGUUAAAUGUUGUGUGUUGUGUAGGUUAAGUGUUGUACAUAGAGAGCUAAGGGACCGAAGUCAAAUUCCUCGUUUGUUCGCAAACCUGGCCAAUAAAGCUGAAUCUGAAUCUGAAUCUGAAUGUUGGGUCUUGAAAUGUUCAUAAGAGUCCACAGAAAUCGAAUAUCAAUAUUAUUUUAGUCUAAUUACAUUGUGUAUAUGCACAAGCCAUCUUAUACAAAGCAGCCGAAAAAUAGAAAACCGAAACGCUGCAAUGUUUUUUUGUAGAAAACUGCUUUUAUGUUUAUAUUGGUUUUCUUUGACUUUUAGAGACACCAUCAAUAUACAAGUUAUAGCCUACUCCAUGGCUGAUCUAUUGCACUACUAGGGCCUACUUUUAUUAUUUCAUUAUAUUAGCCUACUCAACAUUACAGACAACAAUCUGUUUUAUUUCCAGACAAAACUGAAGACCAGGAACUGGAACCUGGGAACCUGGAAGAUGAUGUUGUCCUGAAGGACACAAUUCAGGCAGCAGCAUGGUGCCAGUUACAGUCUUUCAAGGACAGCGUUUCUCUCCCAGAGGUCAUUGGGAUGGAAGGUUGGGAGCAGAUGGCAGCAUCAACACAGCGCAAAUCCCAUGACGGCGGGGAUGAGGAAGAAACGUGGAAACCAUUCCAAUUCUCAUUCAGAUUACAUACUGACUAUGAACUGUUCUGUGUGGAGAUGAUGGACAGGAGAAACCUGAAGGUGUUUGCCUCUUUUGAGUCAAACACCUCUCCCCCUCCCCGUCCCCCUCCCCGUGAUGCCUGCGCCACACGACGCCAAUGUAGUCUGAUGAUGCAGCAUAAUGGCGGCGCUUGGCAGCUAUGGCGGCGGUGACGGCGAUGUCGGGCGACAGAGCGUGAAGCAAGAGUGGCGUUCCACCUCACUGAGGAAGGCGUCAGUGUGUUUCCCCCCCCCCCCCCGUUGCGACUUUGUUUGUUCUACUCUUUAUUGAUUUAUCUUUUAUGUUAAUAGUUUACAAUCUAUUUUUUGUAGUUGUUAUUUUUUAAUUGUUUUGUUGAAUAAAAAGACUGUUGUUAGUGCUCCUGUGA